rnacentral:rRNA from 1 species
UGAGGUAAAGCUACAAAGUGCAUGUGGUGGAUGCCUUGGCGCCAAAAGCCGAUGAAGGACGUGAUAAGCUGCGAUAAGCCACGGGGAGCCGCACAAAGGCUUCGAUCCGUGGAUCUCCGAAUCGGGAAACCGUUCACAUCUCCGUGUAAAGGCUUGGCCUUCGGGCCUUGAGAUAGCACGGCGAAGACAACCCAGGGAAGUGAAACAUCUCAGUACCUGG